CUAGGCUGUCUCCACAAAAUUAGAAAGAUGGUCCUAACGUUUCCAUAUUUACAAGAUUUUUAAACUCAAUCUCUCACAAAAGAUAGACUCGCCUCUCUUUUCCAGUUCCCUUUCAAUCACUGAAUAAGAACUUUGAUUAUCCCCGCGUGGUCACAUACAACCUCUGAAACGGGAGUGGCCCCUUAAUUGACAACCCUACCGGAAUCAGAACAUACAGUAGAGGCAGUUUCCAAAAAGAAGAACUAUGGGGCAGACAGAAAGGAACCUUUAACUUACUUGUUGGGCAUCUAGUCGACCCCAACCUGGAAUGGUGGUCAGAUGGCACUGGGGAAAUCACAAAACUUACACCAAACUUGGUGCAUAAAACCAGAAGCCUGUAAGGGCACACACUGUUUCACGUCCCUGGUGGCAGCAGGAAAACAACGUAGCACCUGUCCUGUUUACUGGAAUCUUUUUAUUGGGCAAGUCUUGAGAUGACGGCAGUGUCACCUGGCAGCGUGAUUCCACCUCAGGAGAGACCUUGCGCCAGGACAAUGCAGAUCAAGGACGGAAGACAAAGCACUGGGCAGAACGUAAUGAGCAAAGGAGUGAUGUGGAGCUGGAAUGCAGUGUUGUAGUAUUCCGGCUGGA